AUUGAACGCUAGCUACAGGCUUAACACAUGCAAGUCGAGGGGUAGCAGGGUAGCAAUACCGCUGACGACCGGCGCACGGGUGAGUAACACGUAUCCAACCUUCCCAUAACUCUGGGAUAGCCUUUCGAAAGAAAGAUUAAUACCGGAUGGUACUUUUUCAAGGCAUCUUGAGAAAGUUAAAGAUUUAUUGGUUAUGGAUGGGGAUGCGUUCCAUUAGAUAGUUGGUGAGGUAACGGCUCACCAAGUCUUCGAUGGAUAGGGGUUCUGAGAGGAAGGUCCCCCACAUUGGUACUGAGACACGGACCAAACUCCUACGGGAGGCAGCAGUGAGGAAUAUUGGUCAAUGGGCGAGAGCCUGAACCAGCCAAGUAGCGUGAAGGAUGAAGGUCCUAUGGAUUGUAAACUUCUUUUAUAGUAGAAUAAAGUGAUCCACGUGUGGAUUUUUGUAUGUAUACUAUGAAUAAGGAUCGGCUAACUCCGUGCCAGCCGCCGCAGUAA
rnacentral:rRNA from 1 species